rnacentral:rRNA from 1 species
CAUUACUGAGUGAGGGCCCUCUGGGUCCAACCUCCCACCCGUGUUUAUUGUACCUUGUUGCUUCGGCAGGCCCGCCUUACGGCCGCCGGGGGGCUUCUGCCCCCGGGCCCGCGCCUGCCGGAGACAAUCUUGAACGCUGUCUGAAGAAUGCAGUCUGAGCGAUUAAGCAAAAUUAGUUAAAACUUUCAACAACGGAUCUCUUGGUUCCGGCAUCGAUGAAGAACGCAGCGAAAUGCGAUAAUUAAUGUGAAUUGCAGAAUUCAGUGAAUCAUCGAGUCUUUGAACGCACAUUGCGCCCCCUGGUAUUCCGGGGGGCAUGCCUGUCCGAGCGUCAUUGCUGCCCUCAAGCACGGCUUGUUUGUUGGGUCUUGUUCCCCCGGGAACAGGCCCGAAAGGCAGUGGCGGCACCGUCCGAUCCUCGAGCGUAUGGGGCUUUGUCACCCGCUCUGUAGGCCCGGCCGGCGCUUGCCGACCCCAAUCAAUCUUUUUCAGGUUGACCUCGGAUCAGGUAGGGAUACCCGCUGAACUUAAGCAUAUCAA